rnacentral:rRNA from 1 species
UACGUAGGGUGCGAGCGUUAAUCGGAAUUACUGGGCGUAAAGCGUGCGCAGGCGGUUUUGUAAGACAGAUGUGAAAUCCCCGGGCUCAACCUGGGAACUGCGUUUGUGACUGCAAGGCUGGAGUGCGGCAGAGGGGGAUGGAAUUCCGCGUGUAGCAGUGAAAUGCGUAGAUAUGCGGAGGAACACCGAUGGCGAAGGCAAUCCCCUGGGCCUGCACUGACGCUCAUGCACGAAAGCGUGGGGAGCAAACAGG